UUACGGCCGUAUCACGUUGAAACACCGUUUCUCGUCCGAUCACCAAAGUUAAGCAACGUUGAGCCUGGUCAGUACCUAGAUAAGUGACCGCUUGGAAAUACCAGGUUCUGUAAG